CAUGCAUGUCUAAGUACAUGCCGUAUUAAGGCGAAACCGCGAAUGGCUCAUUAAAUCAGUUAUGGUUCCUUGGAUCGUACCUUACUACUUGGAUAACUGUGGCAAUUCUAGAGCUAAUACAUGCAGCAGAGCUCCGACCCUAGUGGACGAGCGCUUUUAUUAGACCAAAACCGAUCGGACUCUGUCCGUCUCUUGUGGUGACUCUGUAUAACUUUGGGCUGAUCGCACGGGCCCGUCCCGGCGACGUAUCUUUCAAGUGUCUGCCUUAUCAACUUUCGAUGGUAGGUUACGCGCCUACCAUGGUCGUAACGGGUAACGGGGAAUCAGGGUUCGAUUCCGGAGAGGGAGCCUGAGAAACGGCUACCACAUCCAAGGAAGGCAGCAGGCGCGCAAAUUACCCACUCCCAGAACGGGGAGGUAGUGACGAAAAAUAACGAUACGGGACUCUUUUGAGACCCCGUAAUUGGAAUGAGUACACUCUAAACCCUUUAACGAUGAUCCAUCGGAGGGCAAGUCUGGUGCCAGCCGCCGCGGUAACUCCAGCUCCGAUAGCGUAUAUUAAAGUUGUUGCGGUUAAAAAGCUCGUAGUUGGAUCUCAGUUCCAGAUGGGUGGUCCUCCAACCGGGGGUUACUGCCUCUUCUGAACAGCCAGCCGGUUUCUCUUGAUGAUCUUCACCGGUUGUCUUGGGUGACCGGCAAGUUUACUUUGAAAAAAUUAGAGUGCUCAAAGCAGGCGUGACGCCUGAAUAAUGGUGCAUGGAAUAAUGGAAUAGGACCUCAGUUCUAUUUUGUUGGUUUUCGGAACACGAGGUAAUGAUUAAGAGGGACAGACGGGGGCAUUCGUAUUGCGACGCUAGAG
rnacentral:rRNA from 1 species